rnacentral:rRNA from 1 species
UACAGAGGUCUCGAGCGUUAGGCGGAAUUACUGGGCGUAAAGCGUGCGCAGGCGGUUGUGCAAGACAGAUGUGAAAUCCCCGGGCUUAACCUGGGAACUGCAUUUGUGACUGCACGGCUAGAGUGUGUCAGAGGGGGGUAGAAUUCCACGUGUAGCAGUGAAAUGCGUAGAUAUGUGGAGGAAUACCGAUGGCGAAGGCAGCCCCCUGGGAUAACACUGACGCUCAUGCACGAAAGCGUGGGGAGCAAACAGG